UCCAUGAAGACAGCUGUCAACAUUUCAGUUCCAAAAGCUUCUCCAAGAUCAAUGUCCUCAACAAACCUAUCUUGUUAAAGUCCCCAUAGCUUAAGUUUCAUGCAUGCUGCCAGAGCUUUCCUGAGUUCAUCUCCAGAGCACUAAUGAAAACUUUACAGCCUGUUUAAGAGAACCAGCUGGAAAUUUUAAUUCUGAUUUGUGCCAUGCUGAAGCAAGAAUUUUCACCGUUAUGCCUUCUCUGCCUCUCAUUUCAACUCACAAACAUAGUCAAGUUUAAAUCCCUGCCACGUAUCCGGUGAGAAUGCAACAGGACGACGGCUUUGGAGCGUGCUUGGGCAGAAGCUGCACAUCCGUCAACUCUGGGAGGUCUGUAGGCUGGCAAGGGCAGAGGGUGAGGAGCUGUCACUGCUCUAGCAGCAGGGUGAAUGCCAGCGGGGAGACAAUUCAUACAAGCAAUAGCAGAGACUGGUUUUGUUGUUACCAGUAGUGAUAUGCCUGGGUUUGGUUUGGACUCAAGUCUCUUAGAAGCCUCCUUUUAAGCUGUGUUGCUACUGCAAGUAUUGCCUCUCUCUAAGAGCAGAACUGCAACAAAGGGAAUUCCUCAAGACAACAACCUCAAGUCCCAAAAAGACUGAAACCAGUUGGCACUUUGGCAAGGCUGUGAAUAGGCUGCUCGGUGGAGUUCAACGCAACGGGGAGGUUGGCGCGGAGAGAGCGGCGUCCGAUGAAUUCAGCCAUUCGUUUGUAACUUUCCUUUCAGUCCCCGAGUACAGUUUACUGAACCUCUCUCUGGUUUCAGCCUGUUUUCCUACAGCAUUCACCGAGCUCAUUUGCAUUUUUAAACAGUUGGUCUCUCUCGGUGGCUUUACAUCAUUAGUGGGAUCCGAGCAACCUUCAGCAGACUUAAGCUUCGUGGUCUCGCACACCGACAGGGGAUAGAUCACCUGGCCCCAUGGCACACCUGGUUUCCUCCUGAUGAAUGUGGUCCAGCGCUUUCCCCUCUCUGGAGAAGCAGCCGCACGCACUCUGCCACUUCCUACCGGACCCAGGUCCCGGGCACUAGAACGGCUGGGGAAGCACAACACAUCGGCGUUCAGAGGAGCAGAGUGAGAUCAGAGAGACGACUGCCAAAUGCAGCCUGUGUGUGGAAUCACAGACUUCUUUAGGGGAAACCCUCUGGGAGACCAUCCGCCCACCCCGAUAAAUCAGUGCUCUGCAAUGAGGAGCUUUACGGGCUGAGUGGGGAGGGGGUGGCAGGCAGCCAGAAGGAGAGAACGGUGAAUCCCAGGAGAUCAGGAGGGACUGCAGGUUAGAGGGCAAGAGCUUUGGGGCAGGCACUUGUGUAGUAGCGAGCCCACCAGAACCUGGGCUCCGUCCAUCUCAGGCCUCUCAGCAUGACUGUAUCAUAAGUAGUAACAAGAAUAGUAAGGCAGCUUUCCCCAGCUGUUCUAAAACCAAGAUGCAAACCCUAGGUUUGGUCACUGUCUGGGGUUUGGCUAUAUUAAUAAAGAAAUUACCAUUACCUUUAGUGUGAUCUCUCCCAGCAGCACUGGCUACUUCUAAGGUCUGCCUCCUGCUUACUCAGUCCACACCUUCGACUCCCUCUCUCCAGCUCCUUCACGCUCACCUCCUCUAUGCCGGGGAGAGGUAAAAAAAUCAGUGAGUCAGUGCCAUGCACAUAACCUUUUCCCAGCAGGAUCAACUCCUGGCAACAGGAUGAGCUGUUGCAGGCUAACACUGUCAGUCUGCUGCAUAGCUGUCAUUAUGUCUUUACAUGGCUCUAUUAACUUAAUGGUCUUUUCAGUUUUGCUGACAAGUUUGAAGGCAUCUUUUGAGUAAACAAACUUUGCCUAGCUGCUGAAUGCUGGCAGCAUUAGAUAUCUAUUUCUGUUAACAUCAUAAUUCGUACCGGGUAAUAUCGCUCCCUGCAAAGCUACACGAUUCAUAAAUCACUUGUCUUUGUAUUCUUAUUACUAGUAUUAUUAUGUAAACACGGCCAUUAGCAUGCUAGGUAUUCUUUACAGACGUGUUAGAAAGCAGUUCUCCUGUUCUUCCUCUUUUUCUACCGAUAAAAUAAGAGUUAAAAGUCUUGGUAGAUAUGUCAUAAUACAUAUUAUCAAAGGAACUAAUUUAAAUGUAAGGCUGUUUGCUACCUGGAAAAUCCAGACAUCACAGGAUGUAACAUUUGUAGAAAAUAACUUUGAUUCAACUUUUGAAGAAAGCUUUUUGCAGCUGCAGCAGUAAUUACAGCGCGUACCGAAAUAAGCUUCUUGGAGUUGGCUUGGAUUAAUUUGCACCUGAGUAGAAGAAACCAAAUAAUGAAACACAGACGAAGUCGACUUCACCUUAAGGCAGGGAGAUCUCGAUACUGCUAUCGGAGCUUAAGAACUUGUUGAAAAAGGUGCUUGAGAGAAAGACGAUUGAGGCUACUCUGUCUUGCUUUCCAACAAGCCAUCAGAAGGUUAGACAACAGGGAAGGCGGAUCAGAGACCAGAGUACUGUGCCACUUAUGCUGAAUUACCCGCAGGAAGUGCAGGCUCUUGCCUGCCCACGAUGCCGCCUCCUGUCAAGGCCAGGCGUUAGGUAGCAGACUGGCUGCCCGCUCCAUUCACAGUUCGGCUCAUAACUGCAUCUCAGCAAGCCAGUAACAGAUAGGAAAGGACUGCACCGAGCAAGGGAUCUACCUCCAAUGAGCCUUUAUGGAGAUGGGUAAAUUAAGGACACAAGAUUAAAAGACCAACAGAAACAGCUACACCAGCACUGCCACGUCAAAGUUGCCCCCUCCCAUGCCUUGGGUAGCAGCGUCCGGAGUAGCUAUCAAGAACACCCUUUCUAAAAACAGCUCACAGGACCACAAGAGACUUCACUCCCUGCUCUGGGGAACAGCAGCAGUCUCGCUGUGCAGCCAUGAUGGCUGAGAGCCACUCACUCAGAAAAGGAUCAGGAUCUUUUUGUUGCACCUUGAUUGCUUUUCAGUCAAAUGUCUCCGACUGCUCUUCAGACUACUGCUCAGCUACACAAGUCAGCCCAGGUCACGCUGUCGAUGGAUCACCUUGUGGGUUAAACGAAAGCAAUUGUUCAGCUUGGACUGUACCUGCCUCUUUCCCAAAGAUGAUGAAAACUGCUCCAAGUGCAAGAGCUGGUCUCUCACCUCUCCCAACAAUGCAAACUGGUCCAAUAUAAGAUACUGCAUCCCCUGGGCAAUUAUGCUUCUCUCACACCCCAGGACCUUCUACCGCUACAACACGACAGCCACCACCCACCCAGAGCCCCGCAUCCCAGGGAGAGGGACUUUCCAUUCUGCAACUCAUAUUUCUCCUUUUGGCUCCAGAUAGUUUGUCCCACGUACAUGUAGUUUUAAAAUAGUGAAACGCAUGGCAGAGACGGACAGAAAUUUCAAGAUAGCCAGCCAAAAAAAGAGGUGGUGUUUACCAUUGUAAAGCAACGAAUGUGACUGGAUGGCGAAGCCUUAUUAAUAGCUUUGUUUUGUGCUACUAGUCGAGGAGUCCUUUGAAAAAUAAAUAGUGCGUAAUAGCAGCUCCAUAGCUGAAGUUGUAAUUUUCCAUUCCCGUGCAGAGCUGGUUUCUUUUGCAGUCAUUAAUGAAUAAUGACAGUAUAAUAAUAAUCUUCAGAGCUCACAAUUCUAGCACCAACCUUUCCUCUGAACUUAUAAUUAAGAUGUCAGAAUUCAUUUCUGUCUCAGAAAGCUGAGACUUUUUUGCCCACUGAUUCUAAACUCCAUCUUACAGAUAUCAA